rnacentral:rRNA from 1 species
GGACCCGCACAAGUAGUGGAGCAUGUGGUUUAAUUCGAAGAUACGCGCAGAACCUUACCAACACUUGACAUGUUCGUCGCGACUCUAAGAGAUUAGAGUUUUCGGUUCGGCCGGACGAAACACAGGUGCUGCAUGGCUGUCGUCAGCUCGUGUCGUGAGAUGUUGGGUUAAGUCCCGCAACGAGCGCAACCCUCACUUUUAGUUGCCAUCAUUAAGUUGGGCACUCUGAAAGAACUGCCAGUGAUAAGCUGGAGGAAGGUGGGGAUGACGUCAAGUCCUCAUGGCCCUUACGUGUUGGGCUACACACGUGCUACAAUGGUAUCUACAACAGGAAGCAAGACUGCGAGGUCAAGCCAUGGAAGCUGGGGGUGCCUGAAGUCCGUCACCGAAAGGAGCGGCCUAGGGCAA